rnacentral:rRNA from 1 species
UACGUAGGGAGCAAGCGUUGUCCGGAAUCAUUGGGCGUAAAGCGCGCGUAGGCGGCCUCAUAAGUCCGUUGUGAAAGUCAAAGGCUCAACCUUUGAAAGCCGAUGGAUACUGUGAGGCUAGAGUCCGGAAGAGGCGAGUGGAAUUCCUGGUGUAGCGGUGAAAUGCGCAGAUAUCAGGAAGAACACCCGUGGCGAAGGCGGCUCUCUGGGCCGAUACUGACGCUGAGGAGCGAAAGCGUGGGGAGCGAACAGG